AACUAACGCUAUUAUUGUUACAGUUUCUGUACUAUAUUGGUAUGGGAUUCUUAUCGGUAGAUAGGCAAACUUUGGAACGCGGCCCACGGGCCGCACUC
rnacentral:misc_RNA from 1 species